AAGAAAAGAAGCUGAGAUGUAAUUAAAAGCCCUCCAAGUCUCGGGGGAAGGGUUGGAGAAACCGACGACGGCCGACGGGGGAGCCGAAAGCUCUCCGAGUUUCAAGAGGGAGAGUUCGAGAAACUGACGACGGAGUAGGCGAGGAAAGGGGAAGAGUCGCCGUCCUCGACCUUGGCCUCGGCACUCGGUUCUUCUACUUCCACCACGUUUUCCGCCCUUCCUUCCAUCCCUAACUCUCGCUUGUAUCUCUCUCUUGGUUUCUUGAUCGGUUUCCGAUGCUUUUUCUAAGUCCCAGACCAGAGUCACCGGCCUCAACCUUGGCCUCGUCACUUAGUUCUUCUCCUUCCACCACGAUUUGGCGUGGUGCUGCUUUUCCUUUAAAUUUUGUGAAUCUGAAGCCAGCCGGGAGUUUUCUUUGCCUUUUCAAUUGGACUGCCUUCGAGAGAGUAUCAUGGAGACUUUGCACACCAGAGACCAAACCAUAUGGCUUUCUUGCGCCGUAGUGUUUCCUCAAGCUCCUCCAGCAAAUGAACAUGGAUUUCUAGUUGUGUCUCCAGUGCAGGGUUUUGACUCAGGGCCCAAGGCUUUGAGAAAGAGCUGUGAAUGGAAUCUGGUGCCAAAGCAGGAACAAUUCUAUAAAAGUGCAGAGCAAACAGGCUGAAUUCUUUUAACAGGACGGCAAAAUUGUCGAAUUCUGGUUCGCUUUUGCUGAUGGUAGAUGCUUCAGGAGAUUUGGUCAUUGAAUUUGCCAUUGAAGAAGCAGCUCAGAGAGUACACUUUUUCUUUUCUUUCCGGUGGUGAUCAAUUCUUCAGCACAUAACGUAGAUCAACAUUGAUUGUCAUCCUAGAUCUAUUGCGGGCAGGAUGGUAAUUUUUACCAAAAGGGCAGGAAAGAUCUGAAGCAUACAUAUUUACAAAAGGUUUUGAUAAAUCCCCUCAAGUAGGGCUGGAUCGAGUGUUAUGUAUGAUCAAGCCUUCAUGUACUCUACUAUGAUCACAGUUUGCAUCUCUUUGAAACCAAGAAGGCUCUCAGGUGAAUGAAUCAUGCUUCUUUGAAGGAAAAAUGUGUUCGAAUUGUAUGAUCCCAUAGAUAUCCUCUUUUAAGAAAGACUGUAAUCUGCAAUUUCCUUGUUGAGUUUGUUCGUUCAGCAUGGACGAACCUCUUUUGUGCUGGGCCCAGGCUAUGCCGGUGUUUUCUAAUGUCAGAUUACUCGACACACUUUGGCGCCUUUCCACAUGCUGCACUUUUUUUGGUUCGCAUCCAACUUUCGGUGGUGGAUUCAUCCUGUUUUUUAGUAAAUCAUGGUUAUUUAUUCUGUCAGUGGUCAAACCAUAGCACAUGAAUCCUCAUUUUAAUAAAAUAUGAUGUGCUUCUGAGAACACAUUAUAAUGUUUACCACACCCGUUUGAAAU